AUUUAAGUAGUUUAUAUAAAAAUAUAGAAUUGUGGUUUCUAUGAAGAUUUUUUAUCCUUAAAUU
rnacentral:tRNA from 1 species